CGGGUGAGUAACGCGUAAGUUAUCUACCCCUCCAUCUGGAAUAACUCACCGAAAGGUGUGCUAAUACCGGAUACGUUGGAAACAAGAAAGGUGGCCUCUAUUUAUACGCUACCGUGGAAAAAUGAGCUUGCGUACCAUUAGCUAGUUGGUAGGGUAAUGGCCUACCAAGGCAACGAUGGUUAGCGGGUUUGAGAGGAUGAUCCGCCACACUGGAACUGGAACACGGACCAGACUCCUACGGGAGGCAGCAGUGAGGAAUAUUGCGCAAUGGGGGAAACCCUGACGCAGCGACGCCGCGUGGAUGAUGAAGGCCCUUGGGUCGUAAAAUCGUGUCAGAUGGAAAGAAAUGUAC
rnacentral:rRNA from 1 species